UACGGAAGGCAGCAGUGGGGAAUAUUGCACAAUGGGCGAAAGCCUGAUGCAGCUAUGCCGCGUGUAUGAAGAAGGCCUUAGGGUUGUAAAGUACUUUCAUCGGGGAGGAAAAACAAAACUAAUAAUUUUAUUUCUUGACGUUACCCGAAAAAGAAGCACCGGCUAACUCCGUGCCAGCAGCCGCGGUAAUACGGAGGGUGCUAGCGUUAAUCAGAAUUACUGGGCGUAAAGGGCACGCAGGCGGUUAAUUAAGUUGGAUGUGAAAUCCCCGGGCUUAACCUGGGAAUGGCAUUCAAGACUGGUUAGCUAGAGUCUUGUAGAGGGGGUUAGAAUUCCAUGUGUAGCGGUGAAAUGCGUAGAGAUGUGGAGGAAUACCGGUGGCGAAGGCGGCCCCUGGACAAAGACUGACGCUCAUGUGCGAAAGCGUGGGGAGCAAACAGGGAUUAGAUACC
rnacentral:rRNA from 1 species